GCAAGUCGAGGAGAAUGUUGGUGCUUGCACUGACAGGACAGCGGCGCACGGGUGAGUAACGCGUACACAAUCUACCAUACACAGGAGGACAGCCCCGGGAAACUGUGAUAAAUACUCCAUUGCCCCUAAGACCUGCAUCGGUCUAAGGGUAAAUCUCCGGCGGUGUAUGAUGAGUGUGCGUACUAUUAGAUAGUUGGUGAGGUAACGGCUCACCAAGUCGAUGAUAGGUAGGGGGCGUGAGAGCGUGAUC
rnacentral:rRNA from 1 species